AGCUCUGCGCGCUGCAUCUGUCUGUCAGGUCAGCAGGUCAGGAGACACCUGGCGCGACGAGCACAUGCAUCGGCAGCAGAUGGCACCCUGACCACGAAGUAACCUUUCUACAAGUGGAAUGAUCCUUGUGGUGUGAGGAUGCUGUGGAUGUGUGUUCAUGGAGUUCAGCUGGAUUGUGGGCAAGAACCUCAAGCAGGAAUUCUGAGAGCAUCGAUCGGCACAGUCCUCGUCUCCUCGAGUUAUUUUGAUCCAAGAGAGGGAAUGUUGGAAAAUUGUUGACACAGAUUUCACAACAGACCAAUACUACAGAGCCAACUGCGAUCCGGACACAGGUGCUCAGAGGGCUUCCUAUCAUCCUUGGGGACAGCCCCACAAACUUCUUCAAAGCAGGCUUUGAAUCUGAUGAUGAUGACUCUUUUCGUGACCUUGACAUUGGGAUACUUCUCAUCGAGCGGGAAGGUGCUGUGCUCACAUCUCACAUUCAUUUUGAGUACACACUACUAAUAAAUAUAAAUACUAAACUUAAGGUUCCAUGUUAAUACAACUCGACAUGUUUAGUUUCAGCUUAUGUAAAAACUAAAGUGGUAUAGGGCAACAGGUUUCCACACGAUUUGCGAGUAAAGUCAACUAAUUCGGGUUAAAAGUGUAGAAUCAAUUAUCAAGCAACAAAAAAUAGGAUUGCUUUUGAAGAAAACAUUUACUGUGAUUACUUUCACACUUUCACUGAAAAAGCAGUUUUUCUAAACUUUUACACAUUUUUUGUUCUUUUGGAUCCAUUUGUAUUUUUCUUUUUUUCAUGAAGCUCCCCAAUUUCAAUAUUUGUAACUCUGGGAAAUACAAAGAUUAAUAUCUUUUAAAUAUAACUGAAUGAAACUUUGACACUGAAGAAGCAGGCUAGAAAGGCUAGAAGAGUUCAAAAAGCUCCAGCAACACUUUUAGUAUGAAGAUCAACUUUAUUAACAGAAUAGACCUACACGUUUUGGCGUUUGGCGUUCAUCAGGGUCACAAAGCCCUGUUGGGGGGGGGGAGGUCUUCCUAAUUUUUUAAUGAAGUUGAUCUACUUAAAGUGUUGUUGGAGCUUUUUUACCUCAUGAAACUUUUACACAAAAUUGACAUUAAGCCAAAAAUAUGAAAAUAGGUUUUUAAUAUUUGGUUUCAAAGAAAUGAACAAUGUUUCAGUCAAUACAUACACUCCAAAUAUUCACUCAACUGUCUUUUUGGACCAUCACAGAGAUGAUCAGACACUAAGUUCUUGAAACAAAUCCUUAAUACUGACUUGAAAAACAGCAUUCUCAAAGUUUCUAACACAUUUUCUGUCCUUAUUUUGCAAACUCUCAAACUUACAGAUUUUUAGUCUGCACAUUUUCCCUCAGUGUCUGCUAAGAUAGACCACGCCCCACCCUUUCUUUUAAGGAAGAAGAAUAUAAAAUACUCUGGUAAAAAAAAACUCUUCAUAUUAAGAUGAAAUAAUUGUUGAAAUAUCUACAGUCAGAUGAAGUGAAUGGGUCAACAUUAGAGUAGAUAAUCAUGUUCAGUGGACAGCACAGAGCCCAGAUGUAACACCAUGCUGCUCUGCGUCUCUGAGCUGCCGUCUGAAGCGCUGCCUACAUCAUCGUCAGAGUCUGCUACUCCCAGCAGGGGGCGCUCCUCGCUCAUAACCAGCUCAGUUGAGCCCACUGGUCUGUGUGAGGUAUCCAAAGAUUCUUCCUCCUCCCCGUCCUGCUCAGACGCCUGCUGCUGUUUGGCAAUGAAGUCAGACUGGAAAAGGGCCUGGAUCUGUGUGAGGAAGGGGUCUCCCUCCUCAUCUGGCAGGGGCUCCAGGUACCUGGCCAAAGACGACAGCAUCUGAGGAGAGGAUGUAAAUAUAGAGGUCAAUAAGAGGAACGCAACGCAACAGUUCAGGCUGAGAACGGGUAGAACGUUUUAAGAGCUGGACAGACCUUCUCCAGAAAGGUGAGAUGGGAGUCUUUCCGGAAAUAUCUGUCCAUCUGCACACUCCUACAGAGAGCAGAGAACAGUUAGGAUGCCCAAACGUUAACGCAGGAUGAGAAUGUGGAAGGAGAGUCGUGAUUAUUGAUUCUCACCCGGGAGCCAGACAAUAUUUGUUGAUGAUCCACUGCGCUCUCCUCAUCGUCUGCUCCCAGUCCGGACGCUCUGCUGACGACAGGAAGUCAAAUCUGUACGGCAGCUCUGAGGAGGAAAGGCAAGGCAGCUUUAUUUAUUCAACACAUAAAAACUGCCAAAAUUCAAAGUGCUGAGGAGAGCUAAUGGCAAAGCUCAGCAAAAGAUUUAUUUAUUUAUUUAUUUUUUGCAGUUUUGAAGUGUUAAAUCAGGACUUUGUGUCUGUGUGAGUGUGUGUGUGUGUGUGUGUGUGUCUUGUAAAUGAGACUCACUCUGUGGGCUUGAGGGCUCCUGGCUCUCUCUCACUAACAGGCAGGUGGUUUGGGAGUGUGGGGAGCGGUUCGCAGGGUCAUACGGGCUCACAAUCAUCCCGAUGAAGGGGGCUCCACCACGAGAGAAAUAACUCUGAGCGAAUCAGAACACAGGGAAUCAGGUCACAAGUUCAUGUCGAUUAAGCCUCCAAUCAGGGCUGACAGCUUCUUUCACCUUCCAUUUAAAAAAAAAAAAAAGUGUUUUCAUUUUAGCCAUGAUAGGUAACGGGAGUUUCUUUAGAGAUCUAUUUUCAUGUUCACUCACAAUACUUUUCUUCUUCUUCUCGCUCCUCUUCCUUUGAGCAAUACAUCUAUUUCCACCCAGCCACUUCAAGUGAAACGCACCAGCACAGAUCAAGGAAAUCACAAGUUGCAAGGGAAUACAAAAGUACUGUGAGGUAACGUUACAAAAAUAUUCCCCCCACGGCUCCUCAGUAGCUCUGUAUUUUUUUAACGCAAGGAAACUUUUUCUGCCCUUUUCAUCCAGUUUAACAAAAGGGUAAAAAUACAAUUUGGUCCUUAAUCAGCUCUCAUUAUGAGUGUUAAAAUAACUUGUGCAGAAACACAAGGGGCUUCAGACAUCUAAAACUGGGAAGCAUUUACAGAACCUGCUUUGUAGUCAUUGAAAGCUUCCAUUCCUGAGUGCUGGUGUGUCUAUGUCACUUUUCAAUAAAGCAAACAAAGCACUGUUCGGAGGUGGUGUUUCUACACCACUGAGCUGGGCCUCUUUCUGUUCUUCAUGACAUAUUCACAAGCGACACCACUGAGACUGACAACCCAACCUUUAGCUCCGUGUGGAAGCUACAGUAACAGCAGCUAGUUCCAAAGUGGCUGAGUAUGAUACAUGUUUUUUCUGCAGUUUGAAGUGUCUCCCCCUUCUGGACUCACCUGGAAUUGGUCCUGUGUGUUGAUGUCUCGCACAGAGGGGUUCGGGUGGAAUGAGGGGUGUGAGUGGUACCAGCCCACCACGCUGAAGCCCAGAGAGGAGAGCACUUCACAGGCCUGAGUCUGAGACACCGGGUCCAUCUCACACUGCAGACCUGUGCUCACACUGUUGCACGGCUCUGCUGCACAGAUCUGCACACACACACACACACACACACACACACACACACAUAUAAAAUGGUUUGCUGUGAACAGAAGUUUAUAACAGCAUGAUGACCUUUAACCCUCGUCAUCCACUUUCUCUCACCUUUAACACCUUCUCUUCUUCGUUGAAAGUUCCCCCCAGCAGACCGAUGACUUCCCCCCGCGACACAUGCGCGUGCUGACGGGCACGACAAACAUAUUUGGUCAGUUUCAUGACGAUAAAUGAAAGACAGACUAAAAUGAAACAUGUAUUUUAGAUAGCAGGUGAUCAUUUAGAGCCUUGUCUUAGGGCUCAUCACCUUCAACCACCCGCUUCUGUCACACUUCUACUUCUGUCAGGUAUCAAUCUCCUGAGCACCCAGGGGUCUCUCUCUUCCUCGUCGUCAGAGAUGUUUCGCUUUCCUACAUGCUCAGUCAUAUUUUUUAUUCUUCUUCCUCUGUGGAGAAUGUUUUGUAUCUGCUCUCUCUAAGAUGUCUCAGAACCUUCUUGAUAUCUUCACUCAGCCCAUAAGGAGCUGUUUUUAUGGAUAUUGUUUGAAGAAUAAAACAUGUUAAAAUUACAUCUUGACUUCGGACAAAUGUUUCAGUCCCUUUUAUAACCCUGACAUGGAAAAGUGAUAACUAACUUAAUCGGUUGAAAAAAUGUUGAGAUUAGGGAUGUGCAUUUCAAGGAAAACUACUAUUGGAAAGUCUCUUGCAAUUAUUCAAGAAAAUAAGAUUUUCUCCCAGAUUGACCGUGACGUACGUCAUUAGCUGCUUUAACUCUUUCAAACUUUUCAAGGUAACACCUGUGUAUCCUACAUCUCUGGUGAGCCUUCUCUCACCUCAUGAUGCAUAUAUUGAAUGUGGAUCUGUUAUUUGUCAUGUACUUUGUACUUUUAAUGUGUAUGGCUGGUUGAUUAAUGUGCACCGUGCUGAUUAAAUAAAACCAAUAGAUAGAGAAAUAAAAUGCACUUUAUAAACUGAGAUGUGCGUGCGUGCGUGCGUGCGUGCGUGCGUGCGUGCGUGCGUGCGUGCGUGUGUGUUGCGUACCAUGUCCAUGAUAAGGAGAGUCUCUGCACACACAAUGACCUGGAAUGGUUCCUGGGGGAUCAGCAAACAGAAGCUUUUAAUAACAAUUUGAUUGCUUUAUUGUUUUAAUUUGUUAGCUGGGUUCUGGGUGAUACGGGAGGGAAUGUAAUACGAGGCUGUGUGAAUGCUAACAGAGGGAUGUCAUAUCAAACAGCAGUGUUUUAAUCCUGUGCUAAUCAACCAUGUCUGUAAUUUGUAAAGUUAAAAUUCCACUCCGUCAUGGGUGGCUGCACCACCUGAUUCCUUCUUUUUUAACUCCAUAGGUUACAUUUUUAGUUUCUUUUAUUGUUGUUGAUAUAAAUCAACUAUCAUCUAAGUAAUAAAUGUCAGUGCUUCCUGACUCCCUGA